GGGGCUGUCAUGGUUUCGACAGGUUUAUGUUUGAUUCAGGCUGCAGUGGAGCGGUGACCAUAUCACCAAAUAAAUUUAGACGCUAACAACAAUAGCAAUUUUGCUUUCGCUGCCUAAGGACGCUUGACGCGUUGCAGCGACCCGAUCGCGGUAGAUGCCUAACGGCCGCGGUUGUGUAACUAAAAUCGGCUAGGGUGAGGCGGAUGGCUGUACGCGGAUCCCGAAAACCUACAGCCAGAUUCAGCAGUGCGUUUCUGAUCGCUGUACAUACUGCUGUCUUAUCAACAGCGACCUAAACUGUAGAUGCCUGAAUGUGGGACUACUCUUGGACACGGGUUCGACUCCCGUCAGCUCCACUA
rnacentral:tmRNA from 1 species